UACGGGGGGAGCAAGCGUUGUUCGGAUUUACUGGGCGUAAAGGGCGCGUAGGCGGCCACCGCAAGUCGACUGUGAAAUCUCCGGCUUAACCCGGAAAGGUCAGCCGAUACUGCGGGGCUAGAGUGCAGAAGGGGCAACUGGGAAUUCUCGGUGUAGCGGUGAAAUGCGUAGAUAUCGAGAGGAACACCUGCGGCGAAGGCGGGUUGCUGGGCUGACACUGACGUGAGGCGCGAAAGCUAGGGUAGCAAACGGG
rnacentral:rRNA from 1 species